AGUUAAUGAACUUGAAUAAGUAUAUAUUUUGAAAAUAUAACAUAGAAAUAAAAUCUUUCUAUUAACUU
rnacentral:tRNA from 1 species